rnacentral:rRNA from 1 species
GAUGAACGCUGGCCGCGUGCCUAAUACAUGCAAGUCGAGCGAACAGACGAGGAGCUUGCCCCUCUGACGUUAGCGGCGGACGGGUGAGUAACACGUGGAUACCCUACCUGUAAGACUGGGAUAACCUCGGGAAUGCGGAUCUAAUACCGUAUAAUCUAUUGAACCGCAUGGUUCAUUCGUCAAAGACGGCUUUGCUGUCACUUAUAGCUGGAUCCGCGCCGCAUUAGCUAGUUGGUAAGGUAACGCCUUACCACGGCGACGAUGCGUAGCCGACCUGGCAGGCUGAUGGCCCAGACAAGAUCUAAGACACGGUCCACAGUCCUACGGGAUGCACCAGCAGGGCAUCUUCCGCACUGGGCGCAAGCCUGACGCAGCGCCGCCGCGCCAGUGGUCAGCCCCCUGGGUGCGUAAAGCUCUUUUAUGCGCGACAAACGCCUGGCUAAGUAUCCAGGCACGUCCUGACGGUAGCCUAUAAGAAAGGCGCGGCUAACUACGUG